GAUGAACGCUGGCGGCGUGCCUAAUACAUGCCAGUCGAGCGAACGGACGAGAAGCUUGCUUCUCUGAUGUUAGCGGCGGACGGGUGAGUAACACGUGGAUAACCUACCUAUAAGACUGGGAUAACUUCGGGAAACCGGAGCUAAUACCGGAUGAUAUUUUGAACCGCAUGGUUCAAAAGUGAAAGACGGUCUUGCUGUCACUUAUAGAUGGAUCCGCGCUGCAUUAGCUAGUUGGUAAGGUAACGGCUUACCAAGGCAACGAUGCAUAGCCGACCUGAGAGGGUGAUCGGCCACACUGGAACUGAGACACGGUCCAGACUCCUACGGGAGGCAGCAGUAGGGAAUCUUCCGCAAUGGGCGAAAGCCUGACGGAGCACCGCCGCGUGAGUGAUGAAGGUCUUCGGAUCGUAAAACUCUGUUAUUAGGGAAGAACAUAUGUGUAAGUAACUGUGCACAUCUUGACGGUACCUAAUCAGAAAGCCACGGCUAACUACGUG
rnacentral:rRNA from 1 species